rnacentral:misc_RNA from 1 species
UUUUUCUUUUUUUUUUUUUUUUGACAGUGGGUAAAAAGGUGGUACAGAGAAGGGACACACCUCAACACAAAACCAUGGCAAUUUUGUAAAGACAUGGGAUCCCACAUUUCUUCACAAAAUUGACGUGGUUUUGUAUUGAGGGGUGUCCCUUCUCUGUCCCUCCUUCCUACCUACUGUCAAAAAAAAAAACCCAGAUAUUGGUGACUUGAUGUGAAGCACCCUUGCCCUGUAGGGUGUCAGCUAGGCAUGCCCGUGAGGCUGGUCCUUCAAGAUCUCAUAUCAUUUUAACUUGAUUUGCAACCUAAGAGUAAAAAAUUUUGACCUUCAAUUCCCCAGGGAGGACUUCUAUGCCAGAAUUUCAAAAACAACAACUUGCAUCUAAAAGAAACUUUGUGAUAUAAAAUUAUAAGCAGCACAUUAAAUCAUCAGCUUGACUCCUAAAAAAUUUCAUGCAUUUCAAGUUAAUACCACAGAUUGAUUAGACUGAAGUAAAAGAAUCUUAACAUAUAAUCCAACUGGAUGGGCUGGAGUUGCUGCAAGGGCAUCUUGCUCCUCCCCUGAUAAAGCCUAAGAUGAAAACAACAGAACAAUAAAAGAAUAGCAAUUUGUCACCAACUAAUGACACUAAGUUGAGAGGGCAUUCAAAUCAUAAGGAACACAACCGUAAUGCUGUCAGUUGUAGAUAAGAAAGGAACGCACCAGCAAUGCUGUCAAAAGACUAUCCACAUAAGUUGCUUCAGCUAGUAAACUCAAAGGAACAGCCUGAAGAACAUCAGAUUUAAUAUGAACAAUAGGAGCUGAAAAAUCAA